UGGCGAACGGGUGAGUAAUGCGUGACCAACCUGCCCCAUGCUCCAGAAUAGCUCUUGGAAACGGGUGGUAAUGCUGGAUGCUCCAACUUGACGCAUGUCUUGUUGGGAAAGUGUUUAGUGGCAUGGGAUGGGGUCGCGUCCUAUCAGCUUGUAGGCGGGGUAAUGGCCCACCUAGGCUUCGACGGGUAGCCGGCCUGAGGGGGCGGACGGCCACAUUGGGACUGAGAUACGGCCCAUACUCCUACGGGAGGCAGCAGGG
rnacentral:rRNA from 1 species